AAGCUUUAGCUCACUAGGGCAAAAAAAUAACAAAAAACUCAAAGCUCCUCACUCACUCUCUCUCUCUCUCUCUCUCUCGACACAGACCGAAAACCAAAACCCAAAGCUCCUCAGUCUCUCGACAGCGUCUCCCCAGAACCAAAACCUACGGCCAAAGCCUCACUCUUUCCCUCAGCUUUCCAGGGUUUCAAUUUUCAAAUCCCCACCAUACUACGUCUGGAUCCCCAAAUUUCAAAUCUUUCCCUCAGCUUUCUAGGGUUUCAAUUUUCAAAUCUCCACCACACUCCGUCUGGAUCCCCAAAUUUCAAAUCCUCGAUUUUUCAAUUUUCAAAUCCCCAAGAUCUCGCUCAAGGUUUCGGUCUGGGCUCAGAGAAAAGAAGUGCAGUAACAUAAACACGGAGGACAUCCAAGACUUCUUUGAGCACUCAACCAAAGAUGCUUUCUCCGGCGGCAAUCUCUCUCCGAUCCAUUACCACCUUCAGCGAUUCGAUUAGGAUUUUAGGUUUCGCUUUUUUCUCACUAAUCGAUCCAAUUUCCGACGCGUCUGCCGCCUUACGAUUGCGAGAAGUGAGUUCGCGAACUCGAAAUCGAAAACAAAUCCUAUAUGGUCACUAUUUCGAUCUUUCGAGUUUCGAAAACCAAAUACAAAAUAAGCUAAAAUGGCAUUUCUGAGGUCUGUGGCUAGUGCCAUAGCUGCCUCUCUAUUAUCGGCUGCCCAUGCCUUUUCUUCCUCUUCUUCCUCUCAAUCUUUCCGAUUCCCUAAACUCCAAAGCUUUCCUUUCUCUCCUCCUCCUCUCCAAACCCAAAUCUUCUGUUCCUCGCUACAAGCCUUACCCACUCUCCCUCAGCUCUCCACAUGAACGCUCCCACAUCGGAAUGGAAGCCCUCCUUUCAGAAUGAUGCUGUAUUGCCAGAGCUACUGACAGAGUACAUGGUAGAUAUGAAAUGUGAAGGUUGUGUUAAGGCUUUCAAGAAAAUGCUACAAGGUGUUGAUGGUGUAUGACUGCUUGUUGGGAGCUGAUGCUUUAUGUGAUUCUGGUGAUUUGCGUGAUUGCAAAGAAUAUGCUCUCGUUUGAUGAUUGUAUUAGUUGUGCUUUUAUCUCCACUUCCUAUGUUCAUCUGCACCUUUUAAGAUGCAGGUCAGUACUAUCUCACCCCUCGCCAGACUCAAAGCCAUCUACAGUGAAGCCCCACUUCCCCAAUCGUAGUGAAAGAGGAUUUCAAAUCUGCCGAAGCUAAAUUUAUGGUCUGAGGGUUGCUUGCAUUUUUGUUUUGCCCACAAGGAGUUUGUGAAAAUGCCUCAAAUCUUCUUCUCUGUGUUUCUGCUCUGUUCAUGCCGUAUUGAAGGAGCUGGCUCAGAAGUCUUUCAAUGUGACCUCGGAAUUAAAGCAGUAUCCCACUUUAAGAGUGGAAGUUGGGAAUGCAAGAUUUGAAUCGCUGGAUAGGAUGAAAGAAGAGAGCAAGGAAGCAACUAUGCAGCUAGUUGAUAUGGAGUGUGGUUACCUCACCGUUGAAUUUUUCCGCAAGCUUCCUCAGGGUAUUGAAAAGGGGAGAAAUCCGACACACUCACUUUUUGACAGAUCGAUAUAACGAUUCCUACCUUCGGUGGGUUGGCCAUUCCUCCUCAAGGAGUGCGGGUACUUUAUCAUGUGCUACAUGAGAGAUAUCAUUGAGAAUAAAGACAUGUCAUUGUUUCCUUCCAAGUGGGAGAGGAGAGGCAGCAGCCAAUACACCCAAGCGGAUAUUGAUCAAGUGCGAAAUGAAUGGGGGAAGUUUGUUGUCAACACAUAUGUGCAUAUAUGAGCCAUGAAGUAGCGGCUUGUUGUUGGUCCAUUUUUGUUAAGGAAGGCAUCUUUUUUUGUGCUUUGCUGUUGGCCCAUUGUCAUGCACCAUGUGUGGCAUGUUUUGUUUCGCAUGUUUUGAAACAAUAGACAAUAGAUACAUACGUAUCAGCUUAAAAUGGGCAUGCACUAAAUGUUUGUCUUGUUUAAAAUGUUGGGUUCAAUGAUUAGUGGUUUGCAAUGUUUAUAUUUGA